rnacentral:rRNA from 1 species
ACACAUGCAAGUCGAACGAGAGAUGAGGAGCUUGCUCUUCAAAUCGAGUGGCGAACGGGUGAGUAACGCGUGAGGAACCUGCCUCAAAGAGGGGGACAACAGUUGGAAACGACUGCUAAUACCGCAUAAGCCCACGGCUCGGCAUCGAGCAGAGGGAAAAGGAGCAAUCCGCUUUGAGAUGGCCUCGCGUCCGAUUAGCUAGUUGGUGAGGUAACGGCCCACCAAGGCGACGAUCGGUAGCCGGACUGAGAGGUUGAACGGCCACAUUGGGACUGAGACACGGCCCAGACUCCUACGGGAGGCAGCAGUGGGGAAUAUUGCACAAUGGGGGAAACCCUGAUGCAGCGACGCCGCGUGGAGGAAGAAGGUCUUCGGAUUGUAAACUCCUGUUGUUGAGGAAGAUAAUGACGGUACUCAACAAGGAAGUGACGGCUAACUACGUGCCAGCAGCCGCGGUAAAACGUAGGUCACAAGCGUUGUCCGGAAUUACUGGGUGUAAAGGGAGCGCAGGCGGGAGAACAAGUUGGAAGUGAAAUCCAUGGGCUCAACCCAUGAACUGCUUUCAAAACUGUUUUUCUUGAGUAGUGCAGAGGUAGGCGGAAUUCCCGGUGUAGCGGUGGAAUGCGUAGAUAUCGGGAGGAACACCAGUGGCGAAGGCGGCCUACUGGGCACCAACUGACGCUGAGGCUCGAAAGUGUGGGUAGCAAACAGGAUUAGAUACCCUGGUAGUCCACACCG